rfam:Felis catus isolate Cinnamon breed Abyssinian chromosome C1, whole genome shotgun sequence.
GCCUGGGUGGCUCAGUUGGUUAAGCAUCUGACUUUGGCUCAGGUCAUGAUCUUACAGUUUGUGGGUUUGACCCCCACACUGGGCU